UACGUAGGGUGCAAGCGUUAAUCGGAAUUACUGGGCGUAAAGCGUGCGCAGGCGGUUAUGUAAGGCAGUUGUGAAAUCCCCGGGCUCAACCUGGGAAUGGCAAUGGAUACUGGGCAGCUAGAGUGUGUCAGAGGAUGGUGGAAUUCCCGGUGUAGCGGUGAAAUGCGUAGAGAUCGGGAGGAACAUCAGUGGCGAAGGCGGCCAUCUGGGACAACACUGACGCUGAAGCACGAAAGCGUGGGGAGCAAACAGG
rnacentral:rRNA from 1 species